GCAAGUCGAACGGUAACAGGGAAAAGCUUGCUUUUCCGCUGACGAGUGGCGCACGGGUGCGCAACGCGUAUAGAACCUACCCUGUACAGGGGGAUAGCCCGGAGAAAUCCGGAUUAAUACCCCGUGGUAAUUAGAAUCGGCAUCGGUUUUAAUUUAAAGUUUCGGCGGUACAGGAUGGCUAUGCGUCCUAUUAGUUCGUAGGUGAGGUAACGGCUCACCUAGACUUCGAUAGGUAGGGGCCCUGAGAGGGGGAUC
rnacentral:rRNA from 1 species